AGUGGCGGACUGGUGAGUAACGCGUGAGCAACCUGCCUAUUAGAGGGGAAUAACAGUGAGAAAUCAUUGCUAAUACCGCAUAUGCUUACACUAUUGCAUGAUAGAGUAAGGAAAGGAGCAAUCCGCUAAUAGAUGGGCUCGCGUCUGAUUAGCUAGUUGGUGGGGUAGAAGCCUACCAAGGCGACGAUCAGUAGCCGGACUGAGAGGUUGAACGGCCACAUUGGGACUGAGAUACGGCCCAGACUCCUACGGGAGGCAGCAGUCGGGAAUAUUGCGCAAUGGAGGGAACUCUGACGCAGUGACGCCGCGUAUAGGAAGAAGGUUUUCGGAUUGUAAACUAUUGUCGUUAGGGAAGAAAAAAGACAGUACCUAAGGAGGAAGCCCCGGCUAACUAUGUGCCAGCAGCCGCGGUAAUACAUAGGGGGCAAGCGUUAUCCGGAAUUAUUGGGUGUAAAGGGUGCGUAGACGGGUGUUUAAGUUGGUUGUGAAAUCCCUCGGCUCAACUGAGGAACUGCAACCAAAACUGGAUAUCUUGAGUGUCGGAGAGGAAAGUGGAAUUCCUAGUGUAGCGGUGAAAUGCGUAGAUAUUAGGAGGAACACCAGUGGCGAAGGCGGCCUGCUGGGCUUUAACUGACGCUGAGGCUCGAAAGCGUGGGUAGCAAACAGGAUUANAUACCCUGGUA
rnacentral:rRNA from 1 species